CCUACGGGAGGCAGCAGUGAGGAAUAUUGGUCAAUGGGCGGGAGCCUGAACCAGCCAUGCCGCGUGAAGGCGAGGGCCCUACGGGCGUUAAACUUCUUUUGUGCGGGAGCAAUAAGGGCCACGCGGGGCCCGAUGAGAGUACCGCACGAAUAAGCAUCGGCUAACUCCGUGCCAGCAGCCGCGGUAAUACGGGGGAUGCGAGCGUUAUCCGGAGUUAUUGGGGUUAAAGGGUGCGUAGGCGGCGCUUCAGGUCAGCGGUGAAAUACCGGGGCUCAACCCCGGGGCUGCCGUUGAAACCGGAGCGCUAGCAUUCCGAUGCCGUCGGCGGCCUGUGUGGUGUAGCGGUGACCUGCAUAGAUAUCACACAUAACACCGCUUGCGCCGGCAUCUGACGAAUCGGAGCUUGACGCUGCUGCACGACAGCGUGGGUAUCUAACCGGCUUAGAUACCCGUAGUC
rnacentral:rRNA from 1 species